UAAGAAUAAACACCCCAAACAAUAACAGAACAUCAUUAAAACACACUUUAACUAGGACAUAAACCAUUCAGAAGAUAUAGUUUUUUCCCAUGAGCCUUUGCACUGCUUGAGUGCAGAACAGUUAAAAUGACCCCACCCGUCCCUGCAUAUAUAUCCCUUAGUUAUCGCUGCUAUAUAUGAUCUGUGUACUACAUACUUAAGCUGAUUAAUAUAAACAACUAAUGUGAUUUAAUUGGGAAGAUGGUUUUUAACAAAACAUGAAAUAAUAAGAAGUGACCACUAAAAAGUUUAAUUACAACAAAAUUUGGGUUUACAGUGUGCAGUGUCUGUAACAGUGAAA